GGAGCCUGCUUCCCCCUCUCUCUCUGCCUACUUGUGAUCUCUCUCUGUCAAAAAAAAAGAAAUAAAAAUCUUAAAAAAAAGAUGGCAGAGCAGAAGAAAAUGGAGCUGAAAUGAAAUCUACCUCUCAAAGCAAUCCUGUUUAUAUUUCACUGUAUUUGCUAUUAUAAAUUUAUUUCCAUCUAUUUCUUUGCUAGAAAUGAUAAAUGGCUGCCCACCAACUUCUGACUCUUAGGCAACUCUGUUUUACUAAUAAACUGUUUGUUUUGAUCCUGUAAAUGCUAUGCACAAGCCCCUAAAACAAGUGAACAUUUCCAGAUCCCCAUCAACCUAUUAUUAAGCUACUGUUUCUUCUACUGUGUCUUCGCCUGAUUCCAAACCCUUUCUUCUACACUUUAUCUCAGGUUUGGCCUUUGGAUCUUUUUAUUUGAUGCUUAUUUUUGGCCUCCUGGCACUGGCCUCUGUGCUCAAUCUGAUCAUCUUUGGUUUAAACUCACCUUGUACUUCCAAGCUACCAAGAUUUAUACCCUUUGAUUCUAGCAGUUGGAAUUCCUAGCACACCCACUGGCUGCUGCCUCAAGGAGACCAGUCCCAAAUACUAGCCUCAUAUUAUAAGCAUCCAUUUAUUCAUCUGUUUAACAGAUUUCAUUCAUCAGUACCAUGUGUAAGCCACUAGAGUAGUUUCUGGAGGAAUACAGAAGAUUACUAAGUGAUAGAAAGCUCUUAAAAUCUGUUAGGACAAAUAAACAAGUAUAUAGUGAUAAUUUAAGAUAGUAUGUGUUCAACUUUUACUAAGUAUUAUUAAAUUCAAGACAUCAAUUAGCAAAAACUUCAAAUAGAUUUCUUUUCUUCUUUCAGUAGUCUUCGUGCCCAGCAUGGAACCCAAUGAAGGCUUGAACUCACAACCCUGAGCUCAAGACUGAGCUGAGAUCAAGAGUCAGACCCUUAACUGACUGAGCGAAUCCGACACUCAAAAGCUUCAAAUAGAUUUCUAACCAGGGAGUUAGGGAUAUAGGGUUCAAGGGAACAUUACAAAAAGAACUUGAGGUGGUGGGUCAUGGACUUAAAAAGACUGAGAAUACUGGCAGGUUAAGUUAACAGACUUGAAGGUAGAGUAGGAUAAACACCAUGGGAGAAAGGCAUUCCAAAAAGUAGAACCAAAGCAAUAGGAACAGAAAAGCCCUACUUUGGAUGAAUUUCAAGUAAAUCCAUAAUAAAAUAAUCUACAGAGGGAUACGUGGGUGAGCUUGGGGAUUUAAUCCUGGAAGAAGUUGGAAACAGCUGCUAUGGAUGCUUCGAAGUGUCAAAGAAAGGAUUACUGUGCAGCAGUGAAGGCCACUUAGCAACAGGAAACUUGACUUUUUCUUGGAUUAAAUCAGCUGUGAGUUUCCCUGCCCGGAAGCAAUAACAGAGAUUGCUGGUGCAGGGGACCACCUCUUCAAGAGGAGAGGUCAGGGCAGGAGUCUGGGGUCUAAUUGAAAUCCCUGGGGGUCCAAGUUGUAUAGGGAGGCAGGUGAAUCCAGAAGGUGAAUUGGGAGGCAGAAGGUAAACAGUGCGUCAGAGUGCUGUGAAGAGGUAGAAGUUCACAACGAAAUGGAAUCUGCAAUCUCAGAAGAGUUCUGUGUGACGAUGGGGUUUACAAUCCAAUUUCACAUUACAACUCUGGAGCUAAAUUAAAAGCAAGAGCUCUGCACACUAGGUGCCUGGUUCUGUGUGCUAUUUGUGUGACCUUUAACCUCCCUAUGCCUCAGCUCUUUGUUAAGUAGGAAUAAUAAUAGUUCUUACCUGAUAGGACUAUUGGCGGGAUUAGGUGAAAGAAACAACAUGAAGUACUUAGAACAGUAUGUCUGAUACACAGUAAACCCUCAAAUUUUAGCUCUGUUUUAUUAUUUUAAAUGCCACUUACAUGCAUCUCUAAUCAAUAAAUGGGAUUGCUCUGGAGAGCACUAUCUUAAAGACAAAUGACAAGCACACAUACGUGUUUUCCAUUGCAGCCAACAAAUGCUAUGUUUGGUAAAUACAUGUACGAUCAGCUACCUGUUGAAGUUCAAGCCCACAAAACCUUUACCAUGUGAGGUUGUUUUCUUUAUUAUUACUACCAGAAAAUAAUUACCAUGCUCAAGUCGUAUCUGUCUCCUCAUUUCCCCAUAGGUGACCAUGCUUUGGGAUUUUCAUAGUUUGAGUUAAUUCCUCUGGGCUCCGCCACCCAACGAGUUAAACAGGACAAGAUUCCUCCCAGAGGAUUGUGGUUCUGGGAAUGUGAGCAGCUUGUUUUCAGGAGAUCUGCACCCUGACCUGGCCUACUGUUAGGAGCUGUCGUGUUGUUCUUAGUUGUUUUUUUUUUUUUUUUUUGCCUUACAUAGUUAUUUGUAUAUAAACAUUUUUGCAAAGUAAAUGUUUUACGGGGAUGUUUUGCUUAUACAAAGAAAAAUUAAAACUAUCUUGAAGCAAUUACAUGUGUCCUAUUUUUCUCUUUGAAAAUAAAUGAAAGUAUUAAUUCAUAGUUUCUGGAAAGAAAACAAAAGCCCAGGAAAUGGCCAUGCUCUUAAUGUUUGAAAAUAAGGUAAUAUUAUUCUGUGUUCAAAUGGAGCCUUCUAAGGAAUUACUAGAGUCUCAUACACAAUCGACUUAAAUGCAUUCUUUAUCUUUAAAAGGAAGCAGAAUAGAAUCAUUGAGUAAGUCACAUGUGUUCACAGCCUUGUCUGGUGUAAUCAUAUCCUACACAAACACAUUAUUCUCUAGUCAGAAGGGUAAGGGGACAUUUGAAACACGACCUGCCCUUGCAGAGACCUUUUUUUGUUUAAAGAAUAGUGCAGUGAGAGACCACACAGUAGAAGAUAACAGAAAAUAUCUUCCGUGCCUUCCUCAACCUGUCUCCUCUCUCAUUCUCUUUUGUUCUCUAAGGACAUCUGUUGUAAUGAUUAUUCUGUAAAACUCACAGGUAUAUAGCAGAAGGCAUAUCAUAUUUCAUUUAUUAUUUUGUCUACUAUAAUUAUUGUUCUUUUAUACCACACCAUUGUAGGUCUUUAAAAUAUUUUGUUUAUAAAAGAUAUGUAAGGAUAUUAACAGAAAAUUUAUUAGUUGACUAUGGAUAUCUAAAGAGUGAAUGUUUUAACUCUGAAUUUAAUACAAUUAUAUCUUAGGAAGUCUAAUAGAUUUGUAUUAAGCUACAUUUUCAAGAGAAGUGUGGUUUUAAAAGAUGCUGAAGAUCUUUUUUAUAUUAAUCUCAAUGGAUUUUUAAAAAUAUCCUAUGUAAGCAUUUAAAAGAUAUUCCUAAUUUUUAAACAACAGUGAUGUGAAAAUUUGGAGGCUAUAAAAUAGGUCCAUUAUUUGAAAUGUUUCCAACAUUUUGAUAGCUGGUUUGCUGUCUAUAUAAUGGUUGCAAUUAUAAAUUGAACUCUUUUAAAAAAAUAAAAAAAUUUUUUUAAAUUCAA